rnacentral:miRNA from 1 species
UGAGGUAUUGUAAAAGCUUAC